AUCAGCACCUUCAACUUCUCCUCUUUCCUCAGCUGCCUUAAAGGUAAAGUUACUCUAUGAUAACAGCAUCCAUGCUGUCUUCCAGAACAUUUUUUUUCUCACAUUCGUUGUUCGAUUAUCAACAGAUAUUCAUUAACUUUUUGCUAAUCGUUCUACCUUUACAAUAUCCUCUUAUUAAAAUAAUCACUGUCGAUCUCUUUUUCAGUUCCACUCCGAGAGUCUUCCUCCUGCCUCUUAUCAAUAUUUAGCACCUGCCAUUGAAGGGAGGUCUAGACAUGAGCAAAGUCAUUCAGGAGGGAGAGCACCACCAGCUUUUGACAGCAAUCUUCAACCUCAGGCUCCUGAGCAACAUCCUGGAGUAUGGCCAGCAAGUGUAAGGCAGGUGAAAUAUUCCCUCCCAUAAGCAACAAAAAAAGAGGUGUUUUCCCCCCUCCCACUUUCAACCUCUUCCUUCAAUUCAUCACCACCAAAUUCCAUACAGUGUUUGCCCCAAACUCUUCUCUAUCCUGGAGGGAAAUAGAAGGAAUAAAAUGAAAAAGAGCAGCAGAUUAUAAUAACAGAAGGAAACAAACUGAACAAAAUCAUCUUAUUCAUUUGUUUGUCAUGGAUAGAGAAAAAACUAGACUUGGUCUGAGAAAACUAAGCAGGAAGUUGUAAAAUGUCAUUGAUGUAGCAAAAGGGAGGUUAUACUCCAGCACCAGAGAAAAGUCACAAGGCAAAAACAUUCUCAGAUUUUAUUCCUGUUAUUGACACCUUAUAUUAUUACAUAUGAAGGAAAAUUCACAAUCUGACAGGAAAAUUCACAAUACAGAGAAAAAUAUGAAAUUCUUUGUGUUAUUAAAGGGUAAAUAUUUUUUCUUAAGACUACUGUAUAUUGGGUUUGCUUCUCUACUAGACUUUAGCUUUUCUUUCUUAUCUUCCUUGCAGUACAGACUAUACAGAGGAAAAAAUAUAUUAUUCCACUCAAGAGGAAGUUAUGAGUACACUUAACUCAUGAGCUGAGGUGAAGGCUUAGGUUCAUCUUUAACCCAUGCUUUAUUGUAUAAAGAAGAAUUUGAUAAUUUCUGUGCUUUCACCAAAGAGAGAAUACCCAUGGGAAAUUGGGAUGUGGUGCCUGUAGGACUUUAUGGCCUUUGUGCAUGAUGACUAAUUGAUCAAUGAAAAAAACAGAUUACACAGUUCUCCAGUUAAGGAGUUGUUUUUUUUCCUGUCUGGGACCUAAUGAGAGAAUGAUCCCCAAGAGCCACCCACUAAGGAAGAAACAAGCAGUACAUAUAGUAUAAUGAUGUGAAUUCAAUAGCCACCAAUUCAUUUUAAAAUACAUUUGUGCACAUCCUUCCUCUGGAAGAAAUUCCUUUGUAAUCUGUCCUGUUCCACUGGGGUUGGCAAACAUCUGUGUGUGCAGCUGGGGAGAAGAUGGGGGAAUUUAUUUUAUCAGGUUUUUCUCUAGCAAGGUUUAACCUUCCUUACAGCCAUGUUCUCUUCCUCUCCUAAUGCCUUCCCUCAGACAUUUCCUUUUAAGCAGUCCUACUAUGUGCAAGACCCACGUUUUACUUAGAUAUUUAAUUCAAGCUAUUUAUACCAAGGGUUAUUCUAAUGCCAGACAGCUGGACAAAGCCCAUGUCCAUAUUAAGGCAGAUGCAUGUUCCCAAACCCCUUUGAUCCUGCUUGUCAUCUUCUUCCAGAUGCACUAAUCAACAGCCAGCAGCAAAGUGAAAACUAAAUAAUAUUGGUUUAUCUUUUGCUCCUUCAGCAAUAAACCCUCUCUCAUUUGCUACCAAAGGCAAAGAUAAGCCCUGUAAAGAGGUCAGAAACCCCAGCAUCUGUUGCAUUGAUUUAUUCUCACAUGGAAUAAAAUAAUUUAUUUGAAGUACCUUAUUAGACAGUUGCAUCAUGUGGCAUUUUCCUUCUUUCAAAAGAUAAGAGAUGAUGAACAUGGAGAGAGAGAAAGAAGAUAGGCACUACAGUGAGCAGUGGCAAAAGCAUUGGGCAAGGCAAAGAACAGGGGAAAGGAAGGUGAGUUGAGGAAACAGGAGCAGAAAAUGAUAGUGAAAAAAUACUUACUAAGCGCUGAUUUCCAGGACUAGGUUUGCUGAACUCUUUUUCACACAAAAUUUCACAAAUACAUCAAUAAAGACUGGAAUACUUAAAAGGUAUUUAAAUAGAGCAAGUGUACAGACCCUAUGGGAGCUUCACAGCAAUAUGGUUUGAGUCUGCUAUAUAUAAAAAUCCUGCCUAGAUAGAGAGUUUGGUCUAUUUGAGUGACUGUCAAGUGGGGAAGAAAGAGGUUGUUUUUAAUGAUCAUUCAGAGCUUGAAUAUAGAUUAGAAAACGGACUGGCUUUGUCCCACCCUUCAAAAAGGUGCCUGAUUAGGACCUUCCAUGUGGUUUUGUACCGUUUCCACGGGUUCAGCAGAGAAUGUUUCUCCCUCCUGGACCUGGCCCACAUGUGGAGGGAAAGGCCAUGACAAGUGUUGUCCUCUCAUGGUGGCCAACCCCAGGGGACAGGGGUGGGACAUGGGGCCAGACAAUGCCCAGGGAGAUGGUCCAAGGCCCUCUCUGGGAUGGGCAGGUGGCCAUGUCCCCCUCAGGGGAGCUCGAGUCCAGAUCACUCUUGCCAGCACAACGCCAGCACCCCAAAACACCCGGCAUGAGGCACCCCUGUCCCUGCCAGGAGAGUGGAGGGGACACAGCCCCGACCACCCUCACCGCGGAGGGGGAGAGGCUCAGGGCUGCCAGGCUCAUGGAGCUCAUCCCCUCACCUGAGAACUGCUCCUUGGCUCCUCGGGUGCAUUAUCAACUCUACCACCAGCCUGUGGGAUUGUAGGGUGGAUCUUAGCGCUCGUGGGGAAUGGGGGUUGUGUGAGGGACGCGGCUGCUCCAGCCACCUCCGCCUGAGGGGAGCGCCCCGAGCGGACAGCGAGGUGAGGGGGGAGAGCUGUCCCCUCGGCUCCCGGCGGCUGAGGGAAGAAGUGCCGGGGAGCUGCUCUUCCGGCCCGGCCCCUCUGCCCAUCCCCGUUUGCUGUGAGCUGCUUUUUGCUCGGUUUGGGUUGUUUGCCCUGUCCGUGCAGUCGCGUCGGUGAGAGCUCGGCCCGGCUGUGCUUCCCGGCCCUGUGCCGCUCUGGGGGUUUGUUCUGGGCCGGGACACCUCCCUUCCCUCCCGUCCGUCCUUCCCUCGGUUCCCUGCCGCUCCCCUCAGGGCUCCUCUGGCCCCUCUCGGACUGUUUGGCUCGGGUUGCCAGCCCUGCUGUGGCACACCCGGGGCUGUGUCCCUUGUCCCUCAGUGAGCGGGGCUCCGGAGCGCAGUGUCGGGGUCCCCUCCCUUCGGGGUGCUCGCCCUGGCGGGUUAAAAAUCUCCUGCAGGAUCUUUUCCUUUCCGGUUGUGCUGUUGUGCUGUUGUGCUCUUUUUCUCUCGAUUUUCACCACAACCUCCUUAUUAAACGUGGAUCAAACAGAAACGUAAGUGUAAAAUACUGCAUUGUGCGUGGAUAUGCUGUAAGGCACUCUUGGGCAUGCAUUGUUCUGGCUCUAAACCUGAGAAAAGUUACCAUGUUGUCGAGGACCUAAAGAGGCAAUGCAAAACCUCUCUUGUACCACCACAUCUUCUCUUAUUUCUGAGACCUUUGUCAUCGUUUGCUGUCAGUACUUCGACAUGAGAGAUCCACAGUGGUAUGUGCUGUGCCUAUUCACAGACAGGCCCCUCCUAAAAGAUGAUAAAUUCCAAGUAAAAGUAGAGGAGAAGUAAAAGAAAGAGAAAACAGCUUGUGCAAGGUCACACAGAGGUCACUGGGGGAAAAAAAUAAAUUGGGUGGUUAAAAAAAGAAUAAAAAUGUGACAAUUCCAAUGAUUUCCACAUUUAUCUCCAUAUCACUGGCAGUGAUGACACAGCAGCAUGUCCAGAAUAGAUGUCAGUGACGUAGUGUCAUCAUCUAGAUCUGGUGUCACUGCCUUGAAGGUUUCUCUGACAUAACUCAAAUGAUCUUGCAGAAAUAGAAAUUUUAGGGAAGAGCUACUUGAACUGUGCAUGUGCUGCCAAUCGUGAAAAGUGAUGCUUUUGGUUGUGUGUAUCUGUGCAUUUUUAAUGGACAGAAAGUUGAAGAGAAUAUAGAGAGUGAUAACCAAAAGCAGCGUAGAAGCAUGAAAUUUAUAGAGAAGCUUUCAGUCAAGGCAGAUUUGUUUUAAGAACCCUUAAUGAAAGCUAAAGCUGUGUUAUGGUAGUCCAGACAAUAAAUAAGAGAGAACAACUAAGUAAGACUCAACAGAUCCCAAGUACAAAGCUUGUUUAUGAAAAUUCACAGAAUAUGCACUUAGAGAUAUCUUCAUCCCUUGGUUGUUGAUUUGAACCCAAGCAAGACAGAUGAAUGAAAAUAAUUUUAUCUCAGACAUCCCACUAAAAAUGCAGAAUGCCAACAUUCUUCAGUUUGUCUCUUGGUUACAGGUCUCCGUGUUUCUAUCUCCCAUUUCUCUCCUCUGCAUGCAGACACACAUAGAAAAUAAAAUUAAUUAGAGAAAUUGUAUUAAUCCUUAGCUGCAAAGUUAUCUUGCCUUUUUGAGAGUUAAAGGCAGAUUUACUCCUCCACAAACAUCUAAAUAAUGUUCACACUCUACUCCCCUGUCUCUUCAUUAAAUUUUACUCUGUCAGUUCUUUUAAAAAUUAGUCUUAGCAAGUCGCCAAUGCAUUUUUCAACUAUGGUGUAAAUAUGACUGACUUUUAGUAGGAAUGGUGUCUGCUGAAAAGCUACAGAGGCAAGCCUAGAGCCAAAACCAGGGUAAAAUCCUAACUAAUUGGCUGCUCUCUUAAUGGAUAAUCAGAUUUCCUAGCUCCAGUGAUUUUUUCAGUACACCAUGCUCACUAUAGAGCGUUUUAAAUCCAUCCCCAAAUGCUUCAUUCACACUAUUCAACAUUCCAAGUGCUGUUCCUCCCACCCAUCUGUCUGGCACAUGAAUUGCCAAACACCUUUCCUCGGCUGGGUCUUUGUGAAGUUGGUGCAAAAAGAGGUGCAAGGAGUCUCUCGCUGAAGGUCCUGCACAGCCCCAGGACCUCUGUGCAGGAGGAGUGAAAUCCCCAGAGCUCGCCUUGGAGGCCGGCAGCAGCACCAGGUUUGGUUCACUGGAACCAGUGCUGCUGCCUCCCUGGCGGAUCUGGAGAUCAGGUGUGUGAAAUUCUUUCACCACAAGGUAAUGUGUGUCCUUUUCUAACUUUGAAACACGCAUUUAUGUAACCUUUUUUUUAUUGUAUGUCAGACGUAUUUUAUUCUCAUACUUUUCAGCUUCCUUUUUUUUUUUUUUUCUUUUGUAGUAAUUUGAAAUUAAAUUAAAAAUAAAGUAGCAUUACUCAUCCAGCAGAUGGUCAGUGGGCCACCAAUACCAAUUGCUUUUUUUAACAGCCCUUUUUCAGGUAAUGUGUUGCCCAGUUUGUCCUGGUUAUAGGUCCAGUGGCUCAGCAGUUGGUUCAAGUGGAUCAGAAACAGCACAUUGAGCCAAUCCUUAAAUCAUCCAUUGCUUUAUUGCCAGCUUCAUAUGGAUUAUAAAGUGAAGUAAGACAAAACUGAUGCUGGUGGUUAAGUUGUGCCACUGAGCACUAAAGAGAAGGCUGAUAAAUCAGCUUUUAAAGAUGCUGUGUGGCUAACAUGGAAAUACAGGCAUUGUUUGGCAGAGGGAGGUUCUACAUUUUUGACUUUGUAUUGAUUUUGAUUGCCAGUGCAAGUACUAUUUAAGAAAGAAACUAUUCCUCCAGGGCCCUCCACUUAAUACAGUUAUUGUAGCCUCCUUAUCCUGUUAAAAUGAAGAGAAUCGGAUUGCUCUGGGUUGAACAGCUGCUUGAAGUCAAUCUCUGUGUCCACUGUUAAGGGAAACAACGUUAGUGAAGGGAAGCAGAAGGCAGCAUAUCAAAAUGAUAUCCUGAAAGCAUUUUCUGCAGAUGUCUCGAGAGUUCAUGGGCUAUUAUAAAGCAUAGAAGACAUCUGGUCACAUUUUUAUAAUCUCAUCAGCGUAUAUAGAAAAGCCUUCUCCUGUUUACCUUGUCAAGAGCCACAGAAAGGCUUAUAUAUUUCUUUAUAUGCUUAUUUAUCUUAUUGGUACGGGAACAUACUGAUUCUUAACUAUCCAAAUCAGCUUAAUGUGUCAUUAAGUCACCAAGUUAUUUCACUGUAACAUCUGACUCUCUCCUGCUUAUUUAUAGCUCUUCAUUGAAUCACUUUGUGAAGCAGGAGGCUUGGGGAUAUUUUUAUACUGUGUUAUGGGGCGUGUUGUCUUUCAUCUGCAAGUGCUGUGAAAUCACCCUUUCCUGCUCCAGAGUACCAUUGUACUUUUGUUCAGUGUUAACAACACCUCAGUGUGGUUUGUGGGAGCACUUUACUUCUCCCCUGGAAGGAGAACACUAAAUUGGCUGAUUCUGCAAGCACCACUGCAGCUUCCAAAAUCCAGGCAUGAUGAAUUUUUUCUGGUGCCCUGCUCUCACAGGUUAACAUGGGCUGUCCAGCCACGUUUUCUGGGUGCUGUGGAAUCCCAAUUAGACCAAGAGCAUAUUGCAGAGCCUAAUUUUGAUGAACCAACAUAGCAGGCUUUAUUUACUGUGAUUUGUCAUCUUGACCUAGUUUGAUGUGGACAUUUCUUUCCUAAGAAUUAAUUAAAGCAGAAAAACAAAAAAAAUAUUCUGCCUUUGUUUUGCCUGGAGGACAGCAUUAUUGUACCCUGUUGCAACAUUUGACAGUAUUUCUUAAACCAAGACUUUUUAUUUAAAUUGCCAACAUACUGGACAAUUUAUUUCAUUUACAUGAUCAUAUUUCUGAAGACCACACAAGCCAUGCUGCUAUCCUUCAGGAGUGUUUUUGCUGUCAUUUUGUUCUCAUUACCUGUUUUGACCAAGGUCUAUAUGAAAUGUCUUCAUUUAUCUGCAUAAUUGGUCAAGUCUAUUUUUUUUUCUUCAGUCUUCCCUUCCACUUCUAGACCAGCCCUAGACCUAUAUGUGAUGUCAGGUCUCUGCCAGGAUACAAGCAGUUCCUUUGGGGAAUGACAUGGUGUGGCAUGCCAGUGCUCACUAACACUAUUUGCUGUAGUCUGAGGGGGUUUGUCUGAAGCAAGGGCAAAUUUUCUGCUACCUAAAUUCUGCAUAAACAGAAGUAGUUACUUAAUAGCUGUACCUCAAAAUUAAAAUGUCAGACCUGCCUCAUGCUAUUCCAAUUGUUGGGUCAGACCCACAAAAUACAAUAAGCUGUCCUUUACAAAGCAAAAUUGUUCUCCCUUCCCGCCCUGAAUUCUGAAGAGACAGGAGUUCUAAUGUGUUGUGUACUUCCUAAAAGAACAGAGGAAUUGGAUCUAUUCGUACUGGAGGUUACAUCCAAUGUCUCCUUCACAAACACUGAUAAAGGAGCCUAAGUGGUAAUGCCCUGAGUUCAGGGCUGGCCUGGGAUGCUUCCAGGUGUUCUGCCACAUUUUCCCUGGAGAGAGCAAGCUGUGCUCAAGUACUUGGUGCAGCAGGAGCUGCCAGGAACCUGCCACAGUUCAGUGGAAAACAUCAGCUGAUGAUGCCCCAAUAAAGGCGUGAGACUGAUGCAGUAGCCAGGAUCUGCAAGAUCCUGCCAGAUGAUUCUGCCUGGUGUCUCCCUUCAGCAGGAGAUAAACUUCUGGAUCAGGCAGCUGCAGCCUUCCUGGCCUAGGACUCUGCACUGCUUUCCUUGGCAACAGCCUGGAGUGGAUACUGGAGGAUGGUGGCUACUUGCCUAAGGAUGCUGGAGAACAGGCUGCUUCUGCAAGAGGUAUUGAAACACACAGGUGAAGUCCCACUGAGCCUCUCCUUCUCCGGGAUGAGAAGUCACAACUCUUUCAGCCUCUCCACGCCAGAGACUCUUCAGUCCCUCAGUCAUCUUUGUGACUCUUCCCUGGAUUUGCUCCUUCCCAGGGAUGAAGAUGAGGCUGACUGCCUGUAGAUUCCUGAAUCCUCUUCCUUAGAAGGAAGAUAAAGGGAACCUUUGCUUUUCCAAUCCUGAGAAACAUCUCCUGAUCACUAUGACCUUUCAAAGAUACUUGAGUGUGGCCUCACAAUGACAUUGGCAGCUCCCCCAGUGCUUGAAGCACAUUCCAUCAGGCCCCACAGACUUGGAUAUGGCCUGUUUGUUUAUCUGCUUCCUAGCCAGCUUCCCCAUGACAGAGCAUAAAUCUCCUUUUCAACAGUAGCAAACUCAAGGAAAGCACCAAAUAAGCUGCUGUCCUUGCAGCCAUUGACCGCACAGAAGGAUUUCCCCACAACUGUGCCAAGUGCUUGCAGGAUGUGCUGUACAGAAGUAGUGGGAAGUCACAGCGCUCUUGCACAAGGAAGUUUCCCAGUACAAACCAGUCCUAUGUGGCUUAGUGCCCAAGCAUGGAGCAAUGUUGUUCCAUGGGUAACUCCACAGCAAGUCGUGAGCUGCGUUUGAAAACUUAUGAAAGGAACUUAACAAGUGAGAUAUAGAUGUGAUGAGUAAAGGAACAUGAAAGCAAAACAUUAAAUGGAUUAUUUUCUCACAUGCACUUUUAUCAAUUCAAGUAUCUAUAUGUAGUCAACGUGCUGUCUGACAUAAUCACCAACUGAAUUUUCCUUUAAUCAACCAUAUGUGUUUUCCCUUCAGAAGAGUUUUCCCAUGCUACUUUAUAUUUUCUGAUAUCUUUCCUUGUUUUAAUCCCGGUUACAUCUGGAGAUAAAAUCCAGUACUCUCACAGAUUGCUUGUUGUAGGAGACCCUUUGAGAAUGCCAGCUGCAGAUUUACAGCUCAACAGACUUUGACCUGACAUGGCUUUUUUUCCCUCUGAAACUUACUUCUAAAUCACAUCUCUGUUUUUUCCAUUGCUUGGUUCAGCUUAUAUUUCUUUGGUUCAAUAUUUGAACCCUAUCACACUGCUGAAUUACAUACCUCUUAAUGUGGGAUGUGGGGUUAUAAUUGUUCAAGCUGUUAAGGUGUCUGUUCACCAGAAGCCCCUGUGGGAAGGCACAGCUGCGGGUUGGGGGGUGAGAGACAGCUGUGACUUGUGGCCAGCACAUUGCAGCUGUGCCAGCCAGUGGGUGCCCUUUUCCCGCUAUGUUUUGGUUUUAUCUGGUUGAGAUUGAAGGUAUAAAGGGGGGUAACUUCUAAAAUAAAGUGAUUUCCUUGGCAUGCA